ACGCUCGAGCCACAGCACUUCUCUGGCUGCCUCUCCCUCCAGUUUCUCGCAGCAUGUUGAGUGCGACUCCAUCCUAGAUUGGAACCGGGUUCGGGUCCACUGUCUGCGCCUCCGGGGAGGAAGAGAAGAGAAAGUCCAAGAUGGGGUAACCGGCGGAAGACCCUUCCCCCGUCCUUCCCCUCCAGCGGUCCCCGUUGCCCGCCAAUUUCGGAGUUUCGACCGCUGGAGACCGAGUUCACUUGGCUUCUGAGAUCUGCCUGUGUGUAUUCGGGAUAAAGGUCAACUUCUCUAUGAGGGCGGUUUUUUUCCCCUCCCCUAAUCACCACCAUCAUCAUAUUAUAUACAUCUUUCUCGGAUUUAUUUGGGGUUCUUAAUUGUGUGACUCAUCGCGUGAUUAUUUGGGAAAUAAAAAAGAAAAGAAAGUG